GUCAAAUGUUAAUAGAAGAACACCAAGAUCCUGGAAGUCAUGAUAUAUAAGGGUCAGACACAACUGUGAGUAAACGCUCAUCUCAGCUUUGCAUCACUGUAAAGGUUUCAGCUCAAUUCAACAGAAUGAUGAAGGUUUUUCUACUGGCACUGGUUCUUGCACUGGUGUUGACUGAUGGAUCUGCUUUGAAAUGUUACAAGUGUUUGGGUUGGAAAUGUGAAGUGACCGAAGAGACGUGUGCUCCUGAAAAAGAUGCCUGUGUCUCCUAUAGAUCCGACAACACUCCUUAUCCUCCCAUGUUGGGGUGCAUCACCAUGUCACGGUGUGAGAAAAUGCCUUGGUCCAGCCCUGAUGUUAUGGGAUGCUGUACAACAGACCUGUGCAAUGCACCUGUCAAACCAGAUAACAAGUAGUGGGAGAGGCAGCAACGACAAUAAAGCACUUUGGGUGUAAAGUGGAAAAGUGCUAUAUUAAUACUACAUUCAUUUAUCUAUGGGCUCUUUUA